UACAGAGGUGGCAAGCGUUGUUCGGAAUUACUGGGCGUAAAGGGCGCGUAGGCGGUCUUGCAAGUCCCGUGUGAAAUCCCUCGGCUCAACUGAGGAACUGCACGGGAAACUGCUCGGCUUGAGUUCGGGAGAGGGAAGCGGAAUUCCGGGUGUAGCGGUGAAAUGCGUAGAUAUCCGGAGGAACACCGGUGGCGAAGGCGGCAUCCUGGACCGGCAUUGACGCUGAGGCGCGAAAGCCAGGGGAGCAAACGGG
rnacentral:rRNA from 1 species